UGUCCCCUCCCUCUGGCCAAGGGGAAUUGGGUUCCCACGAGGUCUUCCAAACGGCAGGAGCUGAGAAAGGGGGGAAGGGAAGUGAUUCAUCAGAGGAAUAAUGUAGAUGAAGCUGCUGUGGGUUCAAAGCCAGGAGAGAUGAAGGG